CCUGGUUGAUCCUGCCAGUAACAUAUGCUUGUCUCAAAGAUUAAGCCAUGCAGGUCUAAGUGCACACGGAAGGUACAGUGAAACUGCGAAUGGCUCAUUAAAUCAGUUAUGGUUCCUUUGAUCGCUCCACACGUUACUCGGAUAACUGUGGUAAUUCCAGAGCUAAUACAUGCAAACGAGCGCUGACCGGUCCUCUCUCGGGGGGGCCGGGAUGCGUGCAUUUAUCAGACCCAAAACCCACCCGGGGGGACCCGCGAGGGUUUCCCCCGGCCCUUUGGUGACUCUAGAUAACCUCGGGUCGAUCGCGCGCCCACCGCGGCGGCGACGUCUCAUUCGAAUGUCUGCCCUAUCAGCUGUCGAUGGUAGCAUAGGGGGCUACCAUGGUGACCACGGGUAACGGGGAAUCAGGGUUCGAUUCCGGAGAGGGAGCCUGAGAAAUGGCUACCACAUCCAAGGAAGGCAGCAGGCGCGCAAAUUACCCAUUACCGACACGGUGAGGUAGUGACGAAAAAUAACGAUGCAGGUCUCUUUCGAGGCCCUGUAAUCGGAAUGAACGUAUCCUAAACACAUGGGUGAGGACCCAUUGGAGGGCAAGUCUGGUUGCCAGCAGCCGCGGUAAUUCCAGCUCCAAUAGCGUAUAUUAAAUUUGCUGCAGUUAAAAAGCUCGUAGUUGGACUUCGGGAGUGGGCUGGCGGUCCGCCGCGAGGCGAGCUACCGCCUGUCCCAGACCCUGCCUCCCGGCGCCCCCCGGAUGCCCUUGGUUGGGUGUCCGGUCCUCAGGGGUCCGGAGCGUUUACUUUGAAAAAAUCAGAGUGUUCAAAGCGGGCACCAAACUCGCCUGAAUGCCUGAGCUAGGAAUAAUGGAAUAGGACUCCGGUUCUAUUUUGUGGGUUUCCUGAACCAGGGCCAUGAUUAAGAGGGACGGCCGGGGGCAUUCGUAUUGCGCCGCUAGAGGUGAAAUUCUUGGACCGGCGCAAGACGGGACGAAAGCGAAAGCAUUUGCCAAGAAUGUUUUCAUUAAUCAAGAACGAAAGUCGGAGGUUCGAAGACGAUCAGAUACCGUCGUAGUUCCGACCGUAAACUAUGCCGACCCGCGAUCCGGCGGCGUUAUUCCCAUGACCCGCCGGGCAGCGUGCGGGGAAACCAGAGUCUUUGGGUUCCGGGGGGAGUAUGGUUGCAAAACUGAAACUUAAAGGAAUUGACGGAAGGGCACCACCAGGAGUGGAGCCUGCGGCUUAAUUUGACUCAACACGGGGAACCUCACCCGGCCCGGACACGGAAAGGAUUGACAGACUGAUGGCUCUUUCUCGAUUCUGUGGGUGGUGGUGCAUGGCCGUUCUUAGUUGGUGGAGUGAUUUGUCUGGUUAAUUCCGAUAACGAACGAGAUUCCUUCGUGCUAAAUAGUUACGCGGCCCCCCGCGGUCGCGGUUAACUUCUUAGAGGGACCAGUGGCGUAUAGCCACGCGAGAUGGAGCAAUAACAGGUCUGUGAUGCCCUUAGAUGUCCGGGGCUGCACGCGCGCCACAAUGGCCGGGCCAGCGUGUGCCUACCCUACGCCGAGAGGCGCGGGUAAUCCGCUUAAACCCGUUCGUGACGGGGAUUGGGGAUUGCAAAUUAUUCCCCAUGAACGAGGAAUUCCCAGUAAGUGCGGGUCAUCAGCUCGCGCUGAUUAAGUCCCUGCCCUUUGUACACACCGCCCGUCGCUACUACCGAUUGGAUGGUUAUGUGAGGUCCUCGGAUCGGCCACGCCGGGGCUCCUUCGCGGGGCCUUGGUGCUGUGCUGAAAAGUCGAUCGAACUUGAUCAUCUAGAGGAAGUAAAAGUCGUAACAAGGUUUCCGUAGGUGAACCUGCGGAAG
rnacentral:rRNA from 1 species